GACGAACGCUGGCGGCGUGCUUAACACAUGCAAGUCGAACGGAAAGGCCCUGCUUUUGUGGGGUGCUCGAGUGGCGAACGGGUGAGUAACACGUGAGUAACCUGCCCUUGACUUUGGGAUAACUUCAGGAAACUGGGGCUAAUACCGGAUAGGAGCUCCUGCUGCAUGGGUGGGGUGGUAAAGUUUCGGCGGUUGGGGAGUGGACUCGCGGCUUAUCAGCUUGUUGGUGGGGUAGUGGCUUACCAAGGCUUGACGGGUAGCCGGCCUGAGAGGGUGACCGGCCACAUUGGGACUGAGAUACGGCCCAGACUCCUACGGGAGGCAGCAGUGGGGAAUAUUGCACAAUGGGCGGAAGCCUGAUGCAGCAACGCCGCGUGCGGGAUGACGG
rnacentral:rRNA from 1 species